AGGGAGACAGGUGGUGCAUGGUUGUCGUCAGCUCGUGUCGUGAGAUGUUGGGUUAAGUCCCGCAACGAGCGCAACCCCUAUUGUUAGUUGCCAUCAUUCAGUUGGGCACUCUAGCGAGACUGCCGGUAAUAAACCGGAGGAAGGUGGGGAUGACGUCAAAUCAUCAUGCCCCUUAUGACCUGGGCUACACACGUGCUACAAUGGUUGGUACAACGAGUUGCGAGUCGGUGACGGCGAGCUAAUCUCUUAAAGCCAAUCUCAGUUCGGAUUGUAGGCUGCAACUCGCCUACAUGAAGUCGGAAUCGCUAGUAAUCGCGGAUCAGCACGCCGCGGUGAAUACGUUCCCGGGCCUU
rnacentral:rRNA from 1 species